rnacentral:rRNA from 1 species
CUUAGUACGGCGAGUGAGCGGCAAAAGCUCAAAUUUGAAAUCUGGUACCUUCGGUGCCCGAGUUGUAAUUUGGAGAGGGCAACUUUGGGGCCGUUCCUUGUCUAUGUUCCUUGGAACAGGACGUCAUAGAGGGUGAGAAUCCCGUGUGGCGAGGAGUGCGGUUCUUUGUAAAGUGCCUUCGAAGAGUCGAGUUGUUUGGGAAUGCAGCUCUAAGUGGGUGGUAAAUUCCAUCUAAAGCUAAAUAUUGGCGAGAGACCGAUAGCGAACAAGUACAGUGAUGGAAAGAUGAAAAGAACUUUGAAAAGAGAGUGAAAAAGUACGUGAAAUUGUUGAAAGGGAAGGGCAUUUGAUCAGACAUGGUGUUUUGUGCCCUCUGCUCCUUGUGGGUAGGGGAAUCUCGCAUUUCACUGGGCCAGCAUCAGUUUUGGUGGCAGGAUAAAUCCAUAGGAAUGUAGCUUGCCUCGGUAAGUAUUAUAGCCUGUGGGAAUACUGCCAGCUGGGACUGAGGACUGCGACGUAAGUCAAGGAUGCUGGCAUAAUGGUUAUAUGCCGCCCGUCUUGAACCACGGACCA